UCUCUGGAGACAAGGGUGGUUGCUGAUCCCAGAUGAGUUUCCAAAUGAAAUACCCCCAGAGAGGGGAGACCCUCACUCAAGUCUGGAGAUGAUGCAACCUCCCAAAAACUCAAGAGAGACA
rnacentral:pre_miRNA from 14 species